UAAAAAUUUCAGUUCCAAUAAAUCACAUUAAUUAUUUGGUAGUCAAAAGCAAAAAAAAUUAAAAAAUUCCGGCCAGUCACUACCCAGGUCGGAACUCCCCGGUCCCUUCUAGGAUUCUUACAUCACUUGUAUAAAAAAGUAAGAAGUUCAAUGUCUUCAUACAUUCUUGGGCAAGAACAUGUUCUCUGUAACACUGCAUGAUCAAAAUUUUAUUGAAGCGACAAGUUUUUG
rnacentral:lncRNA from 1 species